CGUCAUCACUUCAAAACUCAUCAUCAACAGUAAAUCUCUCUACAACGACAGAUUCAAUGAAAGGAAAAGAGAAUCUUAAAACUCGAUGCUUGAUUAAAUGAAUCUCAAAACCCAUUUCUCAAAAACCCAUUAAGCAUAAAAAAUCUCAUACUUGCAAUUGAUUGCUUUCCCAUUGUAAUAUGAUUCCAACGGAGAUUGACUUCAUCAAAAACCUAUUAGGGGCGGAGGCAUACCGGCGGUGAGCAAACAUGGUUCACGUUGCCUUUUACCGUAACUAUGGCAAAACUUUCAAGAAGCCACGUCGUCCAUAUGAGAAGGAGCGUUUAGAUGCUGAGUUGAAGCUCGUCCGAGAGUACGGUCUUCGCUGCAAGCGCGAGCUUUGGAGGGUUCAAUAUGCUCUUAGCCGUAUCCGUAACAAUUCUAGGACACUUUUGACACUGGAUGAGAAGAAUCCUCGUCGGAUCUUUGAGGGUGAAGCACUUUUGAGGAGAAUGUUCAAACAUGGUCUUCUUGAUGAAACACAAAACAAGCUUGAUUAUGUGUUGGCUCUCACUGUUGAGAAUUUUCUUGAACGUCGUCUUCAGACUCUUGUGUUCAAAUCUGGCAUGGCUAAGUCUAUUCAUCAUGCUAGGGUUCUAAUCAGGCAGAGGCACAUCAGGGUUGGGAGGCAGGUUGUGAACAUCCCAUCCUUCAUGGUAAGGGUUGAUUCACAGAAGCACAUUGACUUUUCACUCACAAGUCCAUUCGGUGGUGGUCUUCCUGGUCGUGUGAAGCGUAAGAACCUUAAGGCUGCAGCCAAGAAGGCUUCCGGUGGUGAUGGUGAUGAGGAGGAUGAAGAUUAAAUUAUGAUUUUCAUUUUCUUAGAUCCUUGCUCUAGCCUUUUUAUAUCUGUCCUAGACUUUAGAUUUUCUAUCAUGCAAAUGACUUUUACCGUUUUCCCAUCCCUGUUUAUUGUGUGAGGAAAUCUUUGCUCAAAACAUGUUGUUUUUGAUCUUUUCUUUUCCAAGUAUUAAGUUUUGCUCCAAUACAUUUGAAAAAAUAAAAUAAAAAUGAUUCCAACGGAGAUUUGAUUUUGUGUAUGUGGUUGUGAUUCUGAAAAGGACCG
rnacentral:lncRNA from 1 species